AUUGAACGCUGGCGGCAUGCCUAACACAUGCAAGUCGAGCGGAUGAAGGAGGCGUUCUCCUGGAUUCAGCUGCCGACGGGUGAGUAAGGACUAGGAAGAUGCCUUGUAUUGGAGACUAACGUACGUACACGGGCCCUAAUAUCACAUCCGUCAUUAUAUAGAAAGGGGGGGAUCUUUAGACAUCACCCUUUUUGCUGACCCUAGGUCGGAUUAGCUAGUUGGUUAGGUAACGGCCUACCAAGGCGACGAUCCGUAACAGGCCUGAGAGGAUGAUCAGUCACACUGGAACUGAGACACGGUCCAGACUCCUACGGGAGGCAGCAGUAGGGAAUAUUCGACAAUGGGCGAAAGCCUGAUGCAGCAAUGCCGCGUGAGUGAUGAAGGUCUUCGGAUCGUAAAGCACUGUUAGUUGGGAGGAAGAGAAGUAAGUUUAUACCUUCCCGUCUUGACGUUACCUACACAAUAAGCCCCGGCUAACUUCGUG
rnacentral:rRNA from 1 species